rnacentral:rRNA from 1 species
AUGUCCAUGCUCCGAAUCUUCGGUUUGGGGAACAACAAUCUUUUCGGCUCCCUCCCUGGCAACAAGAGCUUUAACCUCCCCAUGCUACAAAAACUAGGUCUUUCUUGGAAUCAUUUCACUGGCCCAAUCCAGCCGGCACUGGCCAGAUCCAACAAACUUGAGCUUCUUUCUAUCUCCAUUAAUAACUUCACUGGUCCUGUACCGGCGUGGUUGGCAACAAUGCCUCGGCUUUCUACUAUUCUACUGUCGGCAAAUAACCUCGUCGGUAAGAUCCCGGUUGAGCUAAGCAACCACACAGACCUUGUCAUGCUUGAUCUUAGUGUCAACCAGCUGGAAGGAGAAAUUCCACCUCAAAUAGGCUAUUUGAGAAACCUCAAUUACUUGAGCUUUUCGACAAACCUCCUAACAGGUAAAAUUCCUGAAUCCAUAGGCAAUAUAUCAAGCAUAAAAACUCUUGAUCUGACACUCAAUGCCUUCACUGGAUCAGUUCCAACCACGUUUGGGAAUGUUCGUAGUCUUACGGGCUUGUAUGUGGAUGGAAACAAGCUUAGCCGGAAGCUAAACUUUUUACAUGCACUCUCCAACUGCAAGAACCUGAGUACCCUUGGCAUAUCGUCCAAUUCGUUUGCAGGAAGCAUACCUGACUAUUUGGGAAACCUUACUUCACAACUCCAGUACUUCAUAGCAAGUUCUAACAGCUUAACGGGGAACAUUCCAGAUACAAUUGCAAAUCUUAGCAGCCUUACCACAAUUGAUCUCGACGGAAACCAACUGAGCGGGACCAUCCCUGUAUCCAUCACUACACUGAACAAUCUCCAAGAACUCAACCUUGCCAACAACACCUUGACCGGCGCCAUCCCAGAAGAAAUUUCCAGAUUAACACGCCUAGUACGAUUGUAUCUUGAUAAAAACCAGUUGUCUGGCUCGAUACCGAGCACUAUGGGUAAUCUAAGUGAGCUGCAGUACAUGACAUCUUCUCUUAACUCACUGUCUUCGACCAUACCCUUCAGUCUCUGGCGCCUCUCAAAGCUCAUCAGUCUUAAUCUGGCAUACAACAUGCUGACUGGUCCACUGCCGAGAGAUGUUAGCCAAGUAAAACAAAUUGCUCAAAUGGAUCUUUCAAGCAAUCUUAUGACCGGUGGCUUACCGGAUUCCUUGGGCAGGCUCCAGAUGCUCACCUAUCUGAACCUGUCAAACAAUUCAUUCGAGGAACAAAUCCCAAGCUCAUUUGGAGAGCUAGUCAGCAUAGAGACCAUGGACCUAUCAUACAAUUCCCUUCGGGGUACCAUACCAAAGUCACUGGCCAAUCUGACCUUCCUCACUAGCCUGAACCUCUCUUUCAAUAAACCAGAUGGUCCGAUACCGGAUAGAGGAAUUUUCUCAAACAUCACACUCCAGUCUUUGAGAGGAAACGAUGCUCUUUGGGGCCCCUCACGUCUAGGCAUUUCACCCUGCCAGAGCCAUCAUAAAUCACCGGAAUCGUUGAUAAAAAUUAUACUUCCUGUAGCCGGGGGAGUUGCAAUUUUGGCUACCUGCUUGUGCAUAUUAAUCAGAACAAAGAUCAAAAAGUGCAAAAGGACAUCAGUUCCCUCGGAGUCCAACAUAAUCAACUACCGGUUAAUAUCAUUCCACGAGCUUGUUCGUGCUACAGAAAACUUCAGUGAGGACAAUCUGCUUGGAUCUGGGAACUUUGGCAAAGUCUUCAAGGGACAACUGGAUGACGAAUCAAUUGUUGCAGUAAAGGUGCUCAGCAUGCAACAUGAAGGAGCCUCUGUGAGUUUUGAUGCAGAGUGUCGUGCUCUGCGCAUGGCCCGUCACCGGAACCUAGUGAAAAUACUUAGCACUUGCUCCAACUUUGAAUUCAAGGCCCUGGUGCUCCAGUACAUGCCAAAUGGGAGUUUGGAUAGUUGGCUGCACUCAAGCAACAGCCCUCAGGGUUUGGGGUUCCUCAAGAGGUUAGAAAUUAUGCUAGAUGUAGCGAUGGCGAUGGAGUACCUCCACCACCAGCACACCGAGGUUGUUCUUCAUUGUGAUCUGAAGCCUAGCAAUGUAUUGCUGGACGCAGACAUGACUGCGCACAUCGCUGACUUUGGCAUUGCCAAGUUGUUGUUGGGUGAUGAUAACUCCAUUGCGUUGACAAACAUGCCCGGAACAAUUGGCUACAUGGCACCAGCGUAUGGAUCAACUGGUAAAGCAUCACGCAUGAGCGAUGUGUUCAGCUAUGGGAUCAUGAUGCUGGAGGUCUUCACGGGGAAAAGACCCACUGGCCCGCUGUUCGGUGAGGAGCUCAGCUUGCGGCAAUGGGUUACUGAAGCAUUUCCAACCAGGCUUAUAGAUGUUGUCGACAACAAAGUUCUAUCACAAGGAAUCAAGAGUGAUUGCCAUGCUGGCGAUGAAAGCGCGUCGAGAGAGCAGUCUAUCAUUCUCAACACAUGCCUUGCAUCUGUAAUAGAGUUGAGUUUACAGUGCUCAUCAACGAUGCCUGAUGAAAGAACCGCCAUGGACAAGGUGGUAGUGAAGCUGAACAAGUGA